CCCAAGGAGAGUGGCAAUGACGGAGCAUGUCUUCUUGAGUCUUAGCCACCACUACAACUGGAAGCAUGGCCAUUGCUUGCUGAUGAUGUCAUUCUGUAGGAUUCCUUGAAACGGGGUGAAAAGUUGGCCUGUCAACGUGCCAGGGUCAUGCUGAGCAUCCACAUGGAGCCAGAGCUGCUUGGACAGUCCGGCAGCACUCUUCUUUGGUACUUACUGUCCUUCUGACACAUUAAAUGAUGGAUGAUGCUUGGAAAGUCCAGCACUCUUCUUUGGUGUUUACCAUCUCUCUGACUCUUUAAAUGAUGGAUGGUCUCCUUCUUAG
rnacentral:lncRNA from 1 species